GGGACAGCGAUGCUUUCUGCAGUCGACGAGAAAGUCCUUCGGUGGCGAGUACAGUGGCGCACGGGUGAGUAACGCGUAGAUGAUCUACCCUUCAGUCUGGGACAACUCUUGGAAACGGGAGCUAAUACCGGAUAAAACCUUCGGGUUGAAAGAUUUAUCGCUGGGGGAUGAGUCUGCGUACCAUUAGCUUGUUGGUGGGGUAACGGCCUACCAAGGCGACGAUGGUUAGCGGGUCUGAGAGGACGAUCCGCCACACUGGAACUGAGACACGGUCCAGACUCCUACGGGAGGCAGCAGUAGGGAAUAUUGCGCAAUGGGGGCAACCCUGACGCAGCAAUGCCGCGUGAGUGAAGAAGGCCUUCGGGUCGUAAAGCUCUUUUAUGGGGGAAGAUGAUGACGGUACCCCAUGGAUAAGCACCGGCUAACUACGUGCCAGCGGCCGCGGUAAUACGUAGGGUGCAAGCGUUGUUCGGAAUUACUGGGCGUAAAGGGCGUGCAGGCGGAUUGGCAAGCCGGAGGUGAAAGCCCGGGGCUCAACCCCGGAGGGUCUUUCGGAACUGCCAGUCUUGAGAGGGUCAGGGGCCAGCGGAAUUCCUGGUGUAGAGGUGAAAUUCGUAGAGAUCAGGAGGAACACCGGCGGCGAAAGCGGCUGGCUGGGGCCACUCUGACGCUGAGGCGCGAAAGCGUGGGGAGCAAACAGGAUUAGAUACCCUGGUAGUCCACGCCGUAAACGAUGGGCACUAAGCGUCCGACGGGUUCGACCCUGUUGGGUGCUGCAGUUAACGCGUUAAGUGCCCCGCCUGGGGAGUACGGCCGCAAGA
rnacentral:rRNA from 1 species